UGAGAAACUGAUUUUCUUGUAAGUGAGCCGGGCUGAAACAAAAUCCCUCUUCCCAAGACCCCAACUCAAUUCCACUUUCCCAUUACAAAAAAACCCAUCUCCUGAAAACGCUGCAGCGACAAAAUCGUCACUUCUCCUGAAAACGCUCCAGCCACAAAAUCGUCACUUCCGAUCGACGCGUCAACCAUUAGACAAUACUUUUUCCCUCCCUGUCGGCUAGAGACCAUUGAAUACUCGCACACUUAGACUAGGUCGAUGGCAGGCAAGAAUCGGGGAAUAUUUAUUGUUGUAGACAAAGGAGACAUAUGCUGCCAGAGUGCUCGAGAAAGAGAAGCUAUCCAAAUUGUGGUCUGGGCUUCAUCAAAUGGAUGGAGGUCGAAAAGCACAAUGACCAUAAAGGACUAUUGUUCCAUUGUUGCACUUGCGACUGUAGGUAUUUCAAGUGGUGUAACAAAUCCCCUGAUGAAAAGUGUCCAUUGCAUGAUGAUGGUGAAUCAAGUGGCAUCAGAAAUGGAGGCGAACGGGUGGAUGAUUUGUCGCAAAUAUUAAAAAUGCUCGCUAAGCUAACUGACGAAAAAGACUUGAAGACCUCGCUCAAAAUAAAUAUGCGCAAAGGAAAACAAGAUUUGGAGAAUGAAACUGAAUAUGUCAUGUAUUCGGAUGGUUUAGGAUGGUGUAUGACGAAAAAGACUCUUUCGAAUUGUUGUGCAAGUGUUUAUCUAUGAUAUGCUGGUACUUAUAUGUAAUCUGAUUUUGGAAAAAAUUGUGUUAAUGUUUGACGAGCUUCUCAAGGUGUCAACUCUCCUGUAUUUUGUCCGUAAUCUUAAUGAAGUACUUUUCUAUUUCUUCCAGCCAAUUAUGUCAA